CACGGUUCCUCAAAAAACAUAAUAUCGUGUAUGAGCUAAACUAAAACUUAGGGUUUUACAUGGUUUUAUGUUUUCCAGUGGAUCUGGUUAGAGCUAUGUCACGCUAAAUUGUGUUCUUUGCAUUUCUUCUUACAAUACUUUUCAAUAGAACACUGUUUCGCAUGACACGGUUCCUCAAAAAACAUAAUAUCGUGUAUGAGCUAAACAAAAACUUAGGGUUUUACAUGGUUUUAUGUUUUCCAGUGGAUCUGGUUAGAGCCAUGUCACGCUAAAUAGCAUUCUUGUCAUUUCUUCUUUCCAUCCUUUAUAUUAUAUUAAAUAAUAUUUCAUACGGUAUUAUUUCGUUCUUUAAUUUAAUGUGUUUUUAGUGCUUCUGAAUGUGAUUUUGUUUUAAAUACUUAGCUUAUUAGCAUUCAUCAGUAUCCAAGAAUUCAUCAUACCACUGCUAAUCAAUAAACAAACAUCGGUCUUAGCGUUUAAAUACCGAAAAAAUACCUGCCUGUUCAUUUAUUACUUGUUUCAUUAAACAGGAAUUUGCAUAUCGAUCGUUUUCAAUUAACUUCGAACAGUUACAACUACACGUAAACUGAGCAUGUAGUCUAUUUACAGCAAGAUCGUGACCGCUGACUGCAGCUCUCCUUCUCCCUCCAUUUCACUCCCAACCGACAUUUUCACCUUUGCUGAUAUGAUUACUCCACAGGAUACCUCCAUCCCCUGCAUACCUGGUCGCUAGAUUCGGCUGGCACGUCAUAUCGGUUUGACAGCCAACUCACGUAACUAUUGUUGAUCGACCCACAGUCCACUGAAGUGCCUACGAUGAAGGGAACAACAUGGACAGUUCUACUCCGAAUUACUCCAACCCAUGCGAUGUUCAUCCAUGCGACAACCCACCUGAUCUGAGUGGAACUUAACUGAAGCAAGAGAGUGAUGCCUAAUUCCAUCUGCCAACUAGCUCCACUUCUCUCCCGUGCACCAGUCGCACCCACACCGACGUGUUCAUCUUGCCAGUUUUCCUCACACCCGUCCACUUGUCUCUUGAAGAUUGGCGUCCACAACACCAACGGUUGGUUAGGUCAUGCAAGCAUUGUUACAAUUGAUAAAAACACAUAUUUUCAUUUAGUGAAUGUGAUAACCUGUACUAAUAAUUUGGUCAACUUAGCGAUGAUAACUCAAUGUAAGUAUUAACAAACUCGGUACGUGUUUGUUAUUGUCAAUAAUAUCUUUAAAUUAUACAACUCGCUUAUGUUUGACAAUUACUGAGUAAUUGCUUUGCUUAUUGCAUGCUAAUUGCUGAAAAUUGCUUUUUAUUUUAAAUUCCUUAGCUAAAAAUUGCUUUUUCUUUCACAUUUCUCUGCUUAUUGAAUGACUAUUGCUAACUCAUUAGAUAGAACCUACUUCUCAUAUAAGUAGGUGGAUGCGGCCUCGAUUAGCGGGGGAACCACAUGAAAAAAAGCGAGCUACUGGGUGUACCUCCUGGGUAGUUUGGAAAUCACCUAAUAUAUAUAUGUAUAUAUUUAUAAAUAAAAGUUAAUAUAUAUAAAUUAACAUUAUUUUUUUUUAACAGGAAAUGCACAAUGAUAAAAACUGCGUAGGAGAUUUUAAUACAAUAGUACUACCAAGCCUGAUGUUGGCCGCUAUUUCAAUGAAUGCAGCAGUGUGACAGCUAGCAAUCAAAAGUAACAAGAUAUCGAGGAAAUGCAGAUGGCAAUAAACUGUGUAGGAGUUCAUGAUUGCAAUAGAAUAAAAUCGACCAAGCCUGAAGUCAGCAGCCCCCCUUCAAUGAAUGCAGCAGUGUGACAGCCAGCAAUCAAAAGUUACAAGAUAUCGAGGAAAUGCAGAAGGCAAAAAACUGCGUAGGAGAUCAUUAAUACAAAAGUAUUAUAUAAACCAAGCCUGAUGUUGGCCGCUCAUUCAAAGAAUGCAGCAGUGUGACAGCCAGCAAUCAAAAGUAACAAGAUGUCGAGGAAAUGCAGAGUGUAAUAAACUGUGUAGGAGAUUAUGAUUGCAAUAGAAUAAAAUCGACCAAGCCUGAAGUCCUUCAAUGCACGCAGCAGUGUGACAGCCAGCAAUCAAAAGUUACAAGAUAUCGAGGAAAUGCAGAAGGCAAAAAACUGCGUAGGAGAUUAUUAAUACAAUAGUAUUAUAUCAACCAAGCCUGAUGUCGGUAGCUUCUUCAAUGAAUGCAGCAGUGUGACAGCCAGCAAUCAAUAGUGACAAGAAUCUAGGAAAUACAGAAGGCAAAGAAGCAGAUGUCAUCAAAGAAGAUCUUUGUUCCUGCAAUGUUUCCGCAGACGAUACAUCCAACAGAGCGAAGUGGAAGGAAAAGACUCGGAAUAAAGACCCCACCACCAUAUGGGAACAAUGCAAGGGAGAG